rnacentral:rRNA from 1 species
AGCGAACGCUGGCGGCAGGCCUAACACAUGCAAGUCGAACGGAUCCUUCGGGAUUAGUGGCGGACGGGUGAGUAACACGUGGGAACGUGCCUUUUGGUUCGGAACAACUCAGGGAAACUUGAGCUAAUACCGGAUGUGCCCUUGGGGAAAGAUUUAUCGCCAUUAGAGCGGCCCGCGUCUGAUUAAGCUAGUUGGUGGGGUAAAGGCCUACCAAGGCUACGAUCAGUAGCUGGUCUGAGAGGAUGGAUCAGCCACACUGGGACUGAGACACGGCCCAGACUCCUACGGGAGGCAG